AUCAAAACUGUUUGGCAUAAGGUACACAUCAAAAAUAAUUCCAGAAGUGUGUAACAAAACAUUUUCCUUUUUGUACACUUUUCUGUUUAUAUUCUGAGCCAAGAUAAAAAUGAAGCUGACAUUUAGCUGUCAUUACAAUCAGUGAGGACAAGGGAAACAACUCAGUGCUACCUAACUGAAAUAAAACAGUUGAAUCCUGGAAUAUACUUUAAAAAAAGAAAAAGUGAAUUGGAUUAAUAUUCCUUCAGAAGUACAAAUCAAGAUGGUUAAAACUAACAAAAAGUACUAUGUUUGGCUCCACUGCUGAACUGUAUUUUUUAUAGGCUUAAAAUUAACCAGUACUCUAGAUAUUUUAUGGAUUUAAUAUGGUCCGAGUGCAGAACUCAGAAAGUGGUGGUGUUUCUAUGUGUGCACUGGGUAUAAUAUAAAGGCAUAAUUUACAGCUGAACCUACAGAAGCUCUGUACGUUGUCUUUUCUGAACCCAUGAAGUUCUCCAGAGACUGCACACGAGUGACAGGCAGGGUGGGUUUCUCCUGAGUUACACUUAUGCUAAAUACUAAUCAGCAAGCACAGAUUUUUCUAUGCUCUAUGACCACUGUCAAUGGCAACUUUUUAAAUGUUUUUACACCCCAAUUACCUUCUUGGUAACUCCAUUUGCUUUGUGCUGGAAACUUUGAAAAUAAGACUGAGGACAAACCAGUGCAAUGAAACUCCCGAAAUUAAGUGGGAUAAGCAGCUGGGACUACUUCUGCAGUACUGCCAAUGCACCCUGUAUGGAAACAGGUCACUUGGAGCGUAUCUCCUAAACACCUCACCAUCCUAGAAAGCAUCGUGAUGGACACACGCACAGAGGGCAAUUCAUGGUGGAAAAGCACACAGGCACCUGGGACCAGUGCUGGAAAGAGCCGUUUCACAACUCACCCAACACACCAGGAGUAGCUAUUUGUUACACUGUGACCCUGUUGCCACCACCGAAUCGAAUGCCAUGAAUUUCUGCUGCAACUGGAAUUUAUCUUCCCAUGCUCACCGUGCUGAGAGCACAACUGCUGCAGCCCCAGCAGCUAUAGAAAGCACAAGGCUGAAGAGCAGGUGAACGUGCUACUACUGAACUUUGUUCAGGAAAACCCAGAGUGCCUGACCUGGGGAUAUCAGAUGCUGUUAACACAGAGACCUCCUUAAAAUACCGGCAAAAGAAGAUACUACCUACUGCUGCCAACCCCCCUAGGUAACAUUUAUUUGCAGUGUCAUACAGAAGGGAAUGUUUUCUGUUUCCCCUGAACCAUCCACCUUUUAAUCUUCUCCUUUUCUUCUUGUUCCAACUAUUGCAAUAUCUUACAGUUGAGAGCUUGUAUCCACCCUCUCUCCUGUACAUCUGCUCUUCAGUCAGCCUUCCCCUGGUCUCACCCUGCCCCAUACCCUUUCUCCUGUUCAAGGGCGAAUCCUCUGCAGCCUUGGUCAUCUUGAGAUCUCAAGAGAUUACACUAAAGGCCUUAAUUUGUAUUUAACUUCACAGCUACCUGUUUACCAACCUUUCCCCUUCACCUGAUUCUUACCCUGUUUUUCUUUCAGCCGUUUCCCUUUGGAGACCUCAGCUGCUGCUGGCUGUCAGUAAGAGUCAGAUCAGGGAUGCGAUUCAGCAGGCAGCGGGUCCCUGCUGCCUCCCCACUCACUGCUGUGGCACAGUGCUUCCACUUAGUAAAGCCCCUGAAUGUCUUCCCAUGUCUCUGCUUCAGUUAUCUCUCCACCCGUAUUCCUGAGCACAUGAUGACCCUGUUUUCUACUGGUAUGAAAACAACAAAAGACUUAAGUUUUCUUUUAAGUAAGGUAAAGAUUUACUCUAUAAUUUGUACUAUUGUAUAUUUAUGUCAAGUAGACCAAAGGAAUGCUGAGUCAUAAUAAAAGCAUCAUAACAACAGGUUUUGAAAUACAUGAAAAUAAAUACUUUGGAAAAUCUGGAA